UUCCGGUUGAUCCUGCCGGACCCGACCGCUAUCGGGGUGAGGCUAAGCCAUGGGAGUCGUACGCCCCGGAUACCGGGGCGUGGCGGACGGCUGAGUAACACGUGGCUAACCUACCCUCGGGACGGGGAUAGUCCCGGGAAACUGGGGCUAAUCCCCGAUAGGUGGGGACUCCUGGAAGGGGCCCCACCUAAAGGGUUCUACGGGGAUGUCCGUGGAACCGCCCGAGGAUGGGGCCACGGCCCAUCAGGUUGUUGGCGGGGUAACGGCCCGCCAAGCCUAUAACGGGUAGGGGCCGUGAGAGCGGGAGCCCCCAGAUGGGCCCUGAGACAAGGGCCCAGGCCCUACGGGGCGCACCAGGCGCGAAAACUCCGCAAUGCGGGAAACCGUGACGGGGCCACCCCGAGUGCCCCGAAGAGGGGCUUUUCCCCGCUGUAAAAAGGCGGGGGAAUAAGCGGGGGGCAAGUCUGGUGUCAGCCGCCGCGGUAAAACCAGC
rnacentral:rRNA from 1 species